UACAGAGGUCCCAAGCGUUGUUCGGAUUCAUUGGGCGUAAAGGGUGCGUAGGCGGCGCGGUAAGUCGGGUGUGAAAUUUCGGAGCUUAACUCCGAAACUGCAUUCGAUACUGCGGUGCUUGAGGACUGGAGAGGAGACGUGGAAUUCAUGGUGUAGCAGUGAAAUGCGUAGAGAUCAUGAGGAAGACCAGUGGCGUAAGGCGGGUCGUCCUGGACG
rnacentral:rRNA from 1 species